rnacentral:rRNA from 1 species
AACGAACGCUGGCGGCAGGCCUAACACAUGCAAGUCGAACGCAUCGCAAGAUGAGUGGCGCACGGGUGAGUAACACGUGGGAAUGUAUCCUUUGGUUCGGAAUAACGUUUGGAAACGAACGCUAAUACCGGAUGAGCCCUGCGGGGGAAAGAUUUAUCGCCAAAGGAGUGGCCCGCGUCUGAUUAGGUAGUUGGUGGGGUAAUGGCCUACCAAGCCGACGAUCAGUAGCUGGUCUGAGAGGAUGAUCAGCCACACUGGGACUGAGACACGGCCCAGACUCCUACGGGAGGCAGCAGUGGGGAAUAUUGGACAAUGGGCGCAAGCCUGAUCCAGCCAUGCCGCGUGAGUGAUGAAGGCCUUCGGGUUGUAAAGCUCUUUCGCACACGACGAUGAUGACGGUAGUGUGAGAAGAAGCCCCGGCUAACUUCGUGCCAGCCGCCGCGGUAACAC